rnacentral:rRNA from 1 species
GAACGCUAGCGACAGGCCUAACACAUGCAAGUCGAGGGGCAGCACAAGGAGCAAUCUGAGGUGGCGACCGGCGCACGGGUGAGUAACACGUAUGCAACCUGCCUGUAAGCGGGGAAUAACCCGUUGAAAGACGGACUAAUACCGCAUAAUACUAAAUUACUGCAUGGUAAUUUAUUUAAACAUUUAUGGCUUACAGAUGGGCAUGCGCAUGAUUAGCUAGUUGGAGAGGUAACGGCUCCCCAAGGCAACGAUCAUUAGGGGUUCUGAGAGGAAGGUCCCCCACACUGGUACUGAGACACGGACCAGACUCCUACGGGAGGCAGCAGUGAGGAAUAUUGGUCAAUGGACGAGAGUCUGAACCAGCCAAGUCGCGUGCAGGAAGAAUGUUCCCUAUGGAUUGUAAACUGCUUUUGCAGGGGAAUAAAGUGCAUCACGUGUGAUGUUUUGUAUGUACUCUGCGAAUAAGGAUCGGCUAACUCCGUGCCAGCCGCCGC